CCUACGGGUGGCUGCAGUGAGGAAUAUUGGUCAAUGGGCGCAAGCCUGAACCAGCCAAGUCGCGUGCAGGAUGAAGGAUCUAUGAUUUGUAAACUUCUUUUAUAUGGGAGUAAAGUGAGAAACGUGUUCCUUUUUGUAUGUACCAUAUGAAUAAGCAUCGGCUAACUCCGUGCCAGCAGCCGCGGUAAUACGGAGGAUUCGAGCGUUAUCCGGAUUUAUUGGGUUUAAAGGGUGCGUAGGUGGUUAGUUAAGUCAGAGGUGAAAUUUUGUGGCUCAACCAUGAAAUUGCCGUUGAUACUGGUUGACUAGAGAAUAUUUGAGGUAGGCGGAAUGUGUGGUGUAGCGGUGAAAUGCAUAGAGAUCAUACAGAACACCGAUUGCGAAGGCAGCUUACCAAGCUAUAACUGACAUUGAGGCACGAAAGCGUGGGGAUCAAACAGGAUUAGAUACCCCAGUAGUC
rnacentral:rRNA from 1 species